UCCCUGGAGGACUAAUGGUUAGGCCACAGUACUCUCACCAGGUUCGGCCUGGGUUUGAUUCCCGGCCAGGGAA